rnacentral:rRNA from 1 species
UUCCAGACUCCUACGGGAGGCAGCAGUGGGGGAUAUUGCACAAUGGGGGGAACCCUGAUGCAGCGACGCCGCGUGGGUGAAGGAGCGUUUCGGCGCGUAAAGCCCUAUCGGCAGGGAAGAAGGAGGACGGUACCUGACUAAGAAGCCCCGGCUAACUACGUGCCAGCAGCCGCGGGAAUACGUAGGGGGCAAGCGUUAUCCGGAUUUACUGGGUGUAAAGGGAGCGUAGACGGCAGCGCAAGUCUGAAGUGAAAUGCCGGGGCUUAACCCCGGAACUGCUCUUGGAACUGCGCGGCUGGAGUGCAGGAGAGGCAGGCGGAAUUCCUGGUGUAGCGGUGAAAUGCGUAGAUAUCAGGAGGAACACCGGUGGCGAAGGCGGCCUGCUGGACUGCGACUGACGUUGAGGCCCGAAAGCGUGGGGAGCAAACAGGAUUAGAUACCCCAGUAA